UGUGGGUUCAAUUACAUUCAAUCAACUGUAAAUUCGAAGCAAUCUUGUCAAUUUUGGGUUCACCUAGCUCUGUAUUUGCUACUUAAAUCAUAUCAAGAUAUCUCAUUUAGACUAUGAGCAAAGCUUGGUCUUACAGUGCAUCCAUCCUGCUACUUUUAUCUUCUUGUCACUUGUGUUAUUUGGGCAAGGUGGGCUACCAUUUUCUUACACAUUUUUGUAGCUUCCUUAUGGGGGCAUUGCCUGAUCAAAGCGGCCACACUUUCUUCUUGGCCUAUAUGAUUAUUACAACAAUUUAUUCUAGGCAUUUCCCUAGUGUGAUCAUCAUUGCAUGGAUUUGGAGUUGAGUAAAGGAGGCUUAUGCAUGGACUUGAAGAGGAAGAAAGUAGGGUAGCCAUCGAAAUCAUGAGCAUACACAGAUAUGACAAUUCAAGCAGAGGUGCAAACAUGAAUUACACUAGAAUUGUACAGUUAUUUUUUGGGAAGCCCAAAGAUUUCUUCCUCUAUAGAAGCUCAAUUAUGCAGAUGAUCUCAUAGCAUCUUGAGAUCUAGAUAUGUGAUAUAUUGAAAUUAAAUUAGAUAGUUAUGAACAUGACUUGCAUCAGGAAAGUUCAUGCCUCGCUCUUUGAUCUUUGACAAAGUUAGUCCCUGCUCAACUACAUUAGGUAAUGUGUUUGAGUCAUCAGCUUGAAAAAAUAAAAAAAUUGUUCUCAUUACUUUGUUCUCAUCUUACAUAUUCUGUAAAUCUUGUAGUCUAAAUUGAGGAAUUUUUAAUUGUAGCUUAAAUUUUGAGCUUCAAAUGCAUAGUGGAUUUAUUUGUUUA